AGGAGGAACAGCCCCAGUGGUGGGGCCAGCUCUGGAAACCUGGAUUCAGCCCCCGCAGGAACUCCGGAGCUCUCGGUCUGCAGGGCCUGGAGGCUCCGGGGCGGG
rnacentral:pre_miRNA from 1 species